AUGCAAAAAUGCAGGCUGGCCCAGCACAUACUGGUUAUUGGUACUCCAGGGAGAACAGGAGACGUUAAAUAGAGGAUAUCUUUGUUGUGCUGCUUUCUGCCUGAUGCCAGUCGAUCUGUUGCAAGUCAUCAGUUCAUGAGAUCCAUUUCAAAUUCUGGUGAAGAAGGAAGAAUUGACCCUUGAAAGGUUCAACAUUUUAUAAUAAUUUUGAAGGAGGGAAGCCUGUCCGCAGGACAAUGGCCCCAGUGUGCUCCUCCCUGAUGCCAGCAGGCCCCAGAGCUGACACUGAGGCAUUCACUCCCCCA